rnacentral:rRNA from 1 species
AGUGAACGCUGGCGGUAGGCCUAACACAUGCAAGUCGAACGGCAGCACAGUAAGAACUUGCUCUUACGGGUGGCGAGUGGCGGACGGGUGAGGAAUACAUCGGAAUCUACUUUUUCGUGGGGGAUAACGUAGGGAAACUUACGCUAAUACCGCAUACGACCUACGGGUGAAAGCAGGGGAUCUUCGGACCUUGCGCGAUUGAAUGAGCCGAUGUCGGAUUAGCUAGUUGGCGGGGUAAAGGCCCACCAAGGCGACGAUCCGUAGCUGGUCUGAGAGGAUGAUCAGCCACACUGGAACUGAGACACGGUCCAGACUCCUACGGGAGGCAGCAGUGGGGAAUAUUGGACAAUGGGCGCAAGCCUGAUCCAGCCAUACCGCGUGGGUGAAGAAGGCCUUCGGGUUGUAAAGCCCUCUUGUUGGGAAAGAAAAGCAGCAGGUUAAUACCCCGCUGUUCUGACGGUACCCAAAGAAUAAGCACCGGCUAACUUCGUG